UAGACCAAUCAUGCAUAUCUUUUACCGAGCAUUUUCAAACUGCAUAAGAAGAGGAUGGACAGGCACACGAUCCACAUCUACGGUCUAGCGGCCUUGCUGCUGUCUCUCCAUCUCAUAUGCUCCGCACCUACUGCGCAAUGUCGGAUGAUGGGCGAAGAAGACGUGGAUGACGAGAAGAUCAGUUUACCGUAUGGGCUUUGUGUCAACAACAAACGAUGCAAAUAUGGAUGGAUUUGCUUGUGUUGUCUCACGAAUCUCGAGUGCUACCCGUCCAUGGAUGCGUGCAAGAUAGAUUGUCAGAAACCCUCUGCUGCUAACAUGGUGUCCAUGGCAAUGACCCCUUCUCCUUUACCUGCCCCCUCUCCCGCCUCUUCAUUAGGUUCAACUUGAAUUACAUAUUUAUUUAUUUUUGCCAGGGACUUAAUGGAUAUUGUGUGAAAAAAUAAUUUGGAAUAGAAGUAUCUCAUACA